rnacentral:ncRNA from 2 species
UUGUUAUCACGAAAGGCAGAGGGAAUAGACCCAUAGAAGCCUUAGCAACCCUUUAUAUUUAAAGUAGGUGCUACAUUCUACAAAUUUUAAUUAAUUUGACAGAUAACUU